UACGUAGGGGGCUAGCGUUGUCCGGAUUUAUUGGGCGUAAAGAGCGUGUAGGCGGCCAGGUAGGUCUGCUGUGAAAACUCGAGGCUCAACCUCGAGACGUCGGCGGAAACCAUCUGGCUAGAGUCCGGAAGAGGAGAGUGGAAUUCCUGGUGUAGCGGUGAAAUGCGCAGAUAUCAGGAAGAACACCCGUGGCGAAGGCGGCCUGCUGGGCAGUUGCUGACACUGAGGCGCGACAGCGUGGGGAGCAAACAGG
rnacentral:rRNA from 1 species